UAAUACAAAUAUCGAUCAAUCAUAACAGCGACAAGCGCUCCUGGCGCGGAUCAUAUUGUGCUCACUUUGCUUCAUUAAACGCACGCGCGCCAUCUGCCUUCGCGUUAUCAACUGUAACAGGAAUGACCUGCCAAGAGAAUGGAACUACUGGUGGUUCGGCCUUCUUUUCGGGUUCAGGAGCCUCGACUGUCGGUACCUGAUGAUGUAUUUCAUAUUUUACGGACUGCAGAACGUCAUCCACAGAAACACCUGUCAAGAUCAUUAAUAUUAUCAGGUCUGAAAAUCAUACAUCAAAUAUCGUCAGUAACCGAAGCAAUGUCGGCCACUUCAGUGCGGUCCGAUUCACGAAGUGAGUCACGCGCCGAGCGGUCAGCGCCAUCAACACUGGCAAGGUGAAGUGUAACUGAGUGGGUGUCCAGUGUUCAAAUAUUCACGAGUGUGAACGAAACGAAAGAGUGUCUCGGUCUAUUUCUGUAACCGCUGAAGGCCUCUGAAGCCCGACUCGCGGCGAACGUUCCCCGAAGAAAUUUUAUAACUUGCAACUCUAACUUCCUCUGAUUACCUAACACUCGUACAAGAUUUCAUUCCAAAAUUUUAUGAUGCAUUCCCAUGUUCGAGUACUUAAAGUGCUCGAAAUACACUUGACGUUAAGCAUUUUAUUGAAGCAUUAAAUUCUAUAGAUAUUUUGAUUGGCGAUGGAGUGCCACAAGGGCGCAUAUUUGACCCACUGCUUUUAAGUUGAACAUCAAAGCCCAAAUUAAAUUGAUAAAUUAAUUCAAUAUGAAUAGUAAAAUUUAAAACUUCAAUAAAACAUAAGUAAAAUCA
rnacentral:lncRNA from 1 species